CAAACGGAGAGUUUGAUCCUGGCUCAGGACGAACGCUGGCGGCGCGCCUAACACAUGCAAGUCGAACGGGGAUCAUGUAGAAGCUUGCUUAGACAUGAUUUUAGUGGCGGACGGGUGAGUAACGCGUGAGGACUUGUCAGUUACAGGGGGACAACGGAUGGAAACGUCAGCUAAUACCCCAUAAGCCGAGAGGUAAAAGGAGCGAUCCGGUAACAGAGAGACUCGCGUUCCAUCAGCUAGUUGGAGGGGUAAAGGCCCUCCAAGGCGAAGACGGAUAGCCGGACUGAGAGGUUGACCGGCCACAUUGGAACUGAGAGACGGUCCAGACUCCUACGGGAGGCAGCAGUGGGGAAUAUUGGGCAAUGGGGGAAACCCUGACCCAGCGACGCCGCGUGGGUGAAGAAAUCCUUCGGGAUGUAAAGCCCUGUUUUGCGGGAAGAAGCGAGUGACGGUACCGCAAGAGAAAGCCACGGCAAACUACGUGCCAGCAGCCGCGGUAAUACGUAGGUGGCAAGCGUUGUCCGGAAUUACUGGGCGUGAAGCGCACGCAGGCUGAUAAUCAAGUCGGCUGUAAAAGCAGAGGCUCAACCUUUGCAUCACAGUUGAAACUGAUAAUCUAGAGU
rfam:Synergistes jonesii strain 78-1 contig_27, whole genome shotgun sequence.